rnacentral:rRNA from 1 species
CCUACGGGCGGCAGCAGUGGGGAAUAUUGCGCAAUGGGCGAAAGCCUGACGCAGCGACGCCGCGUGAGGGAUGAAGGUCUUCGGAUCGUAAACCUCUGUCAGCAGGGAAGAACGGUCACUGUGCUAAUCAGCAGUGAAUUGACGGUACCUGCAAAGGAAGCACCGGCUAACUCCGUGCCAGCAGCCGCGGUAAUACGGAGGGUGCGAGCGUUAAUCGGAAUUACUGGGCGUAAAGCGCUCGUAGGCGGUAUGUCAAGUCAAGGGUGAAAUCCCCGGGCUCAACGUGGGAACUGCCUUUGAAACUGGCAAACUUGAGUGUGUGAGAGGAUAGUGGAAUUCCAGGUGUAGGGGUGAAAUCCGUAGAUAUCUGGAAGAACAUCAGGGGCGAAGGCGGCUAUCUGGCACAUAACUGACGCUGAGGAGCGAAAGCGUGGGUAGCAAACAGGAUUAGAUACCCGAGUAGUC